UACGGAGGGUGCGAGCGUUAUCCGGAAUUACUGGGUUUAAAGGGUGCGUAGGCGGCUUGGUAAGUCAGGAGUGAAAGUUUGCGGCUCAACCGUAAAAUUGCUUUUGAUACUGCCAGGCUGGAAUCAGGAUGAGGUCAGCGGAAUGUGGCAUGUAGCGGUGAAAUGCAUAGAUAUGCCAUAGAACACCCAUUGCGAAGGCAGCUGGCUAGACCUGUAUUGACGCUGAGGCACGAAAGCGUGGGGAGCGAACAGG
rnacentral:rRNA from 1 species